GUCAAGACAUGGCCAUCGGCCGGGGGAAAAGGUAUUGGGCAAGGUGUAGCCGGAGUUACAGGGCGUAAAGAGCGUGCAGUGGGUGAGGGAAGUUGGGUGUGUAAUCUCUUGGCUUAACUGGGAGGGGACGGUCAAGACUGCGUAUCUUGAGGUCGAGAGAGGGGUGCAGAAUUCCCGGUGGAGUGGUGGAAUGCGUAGAUAUCGGGAGGAAUACCAGUGGCGAAAGCGGCGCCCUGGCUCGCACCUGACACUGAGGCGCGAAAGCGUGGGGAGCGAACGGGAUUAGAUACCCGGGUAGUC
rnacentral:rRNA from 1 species